AAGUCGUAACAAGGUUUCCGUAGGUGAACCUGCGGAAGGAUCAUUAACGUAUCUAAGGCGUCCGACCCCGCGCCCUGCUCCCGCCGAAAGGCAGUGCAGCGGGCCGUGGCCGGCGUCUAAACCUUCACAAACCCACUGUGCACCUUCACGGCGGAGGCUCACGGGCGAGAGCCCGUCUGCCAAUGCCGUACAAACAAACACUAGUAACCAAGAAUGUCAAGCGACCCAGUCGCCCAAUAAACAAAACAACUUUCAACAACGGAUCUCUUGGCUCUCGCAUCGAUGAAGAACGCAGCGAAAUGCGAUAAGUAAUGUGAAUUGCAGAAUUCAGUGAAUCAUCGAAUCUUUGAACGCACCUUGCGCUCCUUGGUAUUCCGAGGAGCAUGCCUGUUUGAGUGUCUUGAAGUCAUCAACCCCUCCGGUUUUUCGAAGCCGGGGAAGGUUGGAUAUGGGGGCCUGCUGCCGCAAGGCUGCUCCCCUCAAAUGUGUCGGUUGGACCUGUGGGUCGAACUCGUCGGGUGUUGUAUCAACCUCGCUCUGACAGAGACGUUCCCCUUUUGUCGUCCUCCCUCGACUCGCCGUAGAGCGGCAGUCAACAUUUGAAAUCUGACCUCAAAUCAGGUAGGACUACCCGCUGAACUUAGGCAUAUCAAUAAGCGGAGGAAAAGAAACUAACAAGGAUUCCCCUAGUAACUGCGAGUGAAGCGGGAUGAGCUCAAAUUUGAAAUCUGGCGGCUCCGUCGCCCGAGUUGUAAACUGGAGAAGCGUUUUCCGUGCCGGACCGUGUACAAGUGCCUUGGAACAGGACGUCAUAGAGGGUGAGAAUCCCGUCUUUGACACGGACCCCCGGUGCUCUGCGAUGCGCUCUCGAAGAGUCGAGUUGUUUGGGAAUGCAGCUCAAAAUGGGUGGUAAAUUCCAUCUAAAGCUAAAUAUUGGCGAGAGACCGAUAGCGAACAAGUACCGUGAGGGAAAGAUGAAAAGCACUUUGGAAAGAGAGUAGAACAGUACGUGAAAUUGUUGAAAGGGAAACGCUUGAAGUCAGUCGCGUCUGCCGGAACUCAGCCUUGCUUCUGCUUGGUGCACUUUCCGGUUCGACGGGCCAGCAUCGGUUUCGAGCGGCGGACACUGGCGUGGGGAAGGUGGCGGCUCCGGCCGUGUUAUAGCCCCUUGUCGCGAACGUCGCCCGGGACCGAGGAAUCCGGCGCAAGCCUGGGAUGCUGGCGUAAUGGCUCUAAACGACC
rnacentral:rRNA from 1 species